AUCUAGAGCCAUACCUCCCUGACCAUGUCUGAUCUGGGAAACUAAGCAGGCUCAGGCCUAGUUAAUACUUGGAUGAGAAAAUGACUGGCAGCAAAGGAGGUUAUGGAAA
rnacentral:rRNA from 1 species